UUGGGUAUGAAUCACUCUUGUGAAGAAGAAAUGCCAAAGGCAUGUUAAGAGAAGAUCAUAUCCUCUGGGUGUCUUCUAGAGUUACAUGCAUUUAUAUAUUGGCAUGAGAGCCAGGUUUAAAUAACUGCUGGCUAUACUGAACAUGACACAACAACAGUGCCACUAGUUUACAAAUCUGUUUUAAUGCUGGCCAUCUGUGUUGGUUAAAAUUUGUUUUUCUUUAUGGACUGAUUUUUUUAAUCAGUAACUUGUAACUUUUAAACGGAAACUUAGACAAUUUUUCAUUUUAGAUCACUCUUUUUGAUUCUGAGGACCUUCAAGAGGCAGAUGCUGCGAUCCCGAUUACAUCACUUAGAGGUAUGUAAUAAUGUUAUCAUGUGAAUUAAAUGUUGAAUUCAUUAAAAUACAGGUACCAGAGCUUCCCCUGAGGAGCAGCUAAAUAUCACGUUGGCCUGGGACAGAGCUGAUGUAGCGAAGGACAACAUUCUGGUGUACGGGCAACAGUGGCAGGUCCAGUUGUGAUUUUACAGCCAGGAAUCAUGUAUUUAGGAGUUAGAACAGAUGUGUAUAAUCCAGUGCCGGAUUUGGUAGAUGGGAUCUCUGGAGCAAACCAUGUUGGAUGCAUUGUUAAUGGAUGGUGUCAGUUUUGUGAAGCUGCUGAUUGAGAAGGCAUGACCACGAGCCGCUUCUUGACCAUUUCUCGUCUGGAACAGCUCUACAACAGAUUAAUUCCCAUUUACAGCUUACAUGAAGCUUUUGUAUCUGAUAUAAGCACAUAUCUCUGAUCCUUCUUAUUAUAAGUAGACUACAUCUGUAUUUUAUAGCUUUAGGCUCCUCAGAUCAUUUCCUUCGACACAUCAUUGAGGAUGACAGGCAGGUUAGUAUAGAGCACAACCUUGAAGCUAUUUCUGUUCUUCAUUGGGUGGGAGUCAACAGGGAGUCAGACAAUUAUUGUUAGAAUUUUUGUGGGAAAAUUGACAUAAUUUACUAACUUAAUUAGCACCAAAUCAGCAUAUUAGAAUGAUUUCUAAUGGAUCACAUGACACUGAAGAAUAGACUUAUUCUCAAAGAAAGAAACUGUCUUUUAAUACACACAAACACACACACAAACACACACACAUACACACACACAUAUAUUUAUAUAUAUAAACAGUCAUUUGUGUUCCUGUAGCUCAAUUGGUAGAGGAUUGCGCUAUAAAACUAUGACUUUGUUCAUCAUUGUCUUCUCUUCCGUGUCUGUUGUGAGAGAGAGUCAAAACAAAGUAGUUUGUGAUAUCCGGUUCGCGAACAAAUCACUCGAUGUAACCGGAUCUUCUUGAACCAGUUUACCAAAUCAAACUAAAUCGUUUGAAACGGUUUGCGUCUCCAAUACACAUUAAUCCACAAAUGACUUAAGCUGUUAACUUUUUUAAUGUGUCUGGUUUGUUUGAACUUAGAGGAAGUGUCAAUCUCCCGGAGUGAUACAUGUAUUCAAACAGUACACUGACUGAACUGCUGUGAAGAGAGAACUGAACACCGAGAUGAACACCGAGCUGAGCCAGAUAACGCCUCGUUCUGGUUCAAGAAGAUCUGCAAGAAGAUGCUCAUCAUGUUGCACAGAUGAGCAACAUGUUUUAUAUCGUAGUCAUUAUGGUGAUUGUGCUGGUCAGUUUUGGCACGUCCAGGAAGUCUAUUCUGUCACCUAAAUGAGGAUCUGUCCUGGAGUCUUGUCAGAGAUGUAGUCUUUCAGCCCUACUGGAUGAUCUUUGUGGAGGUGCAUGAUGGAGAGAUUGAUGGUGAGUGAGACAAAAGGACACCAUUCAGUCUGGUCAGUUCAUCUGAUUUGAAUAAACCUUUUCCCAUAGCUUCUAUUUCUUGGUUGUCAGGUUAUGGUCCACUCUUCAUGUCUUGUAUACAAUCUUCUCUAUUAUUACUAUUAUCUAUUAACAUUUGUAAGAUAUUUUAUGAUAUAUCCUAUUGUGAUCAUCCCUUUUUGUAUUGACAGCCUGUAGUAAUCCUGAAACCUGUGUCCCUGGAGCAUUCCUCAACCCGUUCCUGCAGGCCGUCUACCUUCUUGUUCAGUACAUUAUCAUGGUCAAUGUACUCAUUGCAUUAUUCAACAAUGUUUACUUUGAUAUGAGCUCCAUAUCCCGUAAGCUGUGGAAAUACAACAGCUAUUGUUACAUCAUGACAUAUCAGGAGAAGCCGUGGCUGCCGCCCCCUCUCAUUCUCCUCAGUCACAUGACUCUGUCACAGCUCAAUGUGGCACAAGCACAGAAAGGCGUCCAAAUGGGGAAGAAUUGGUCUGAGAAAAACAACAAUAACACAGGAGAGGAGAUCUCACCUUCCUCUGGUCUGGAAGAAGCAAUACUAGCGUUCUCUCACUGGACAUAAGAGUAUACCAACAGGGAACUGCUAGUGUUGGAUCUACAAGGUGUGAGAGCAGACCUCAUAGACCCCUCACUGAUCAGAGCUGAUGAUAAAAGGUAACGUUUUCUCCAGUUGUAGGUCCUCUGGAGAGAUGGCGUUUGGACCUGCCAGUUUGGGUGGUGAUGCAAUCCAGAGCUUUGUUAUCAAGCACACCUGCAACUCCUGCUGCAAGAAGCUCGGUCUCUCAGCUGAGAUUUGAGGAGUUGUGGCAGCCAAAGGAAGUCAGUUCCUGCCUUUGAGAUGAGCAGCGCAAUUUAACCUCUGACCUGGAAGUAGACGUUACCAGAAGCCACACCUCAGGGGACUUCAGCUUAUUCACUUCAUAUUUCAUUCUCUGAUCUCUAUUUGGAGUUUUCACAGACUGAAUAUAUAUGUAUAUAUAUAUACAAUUUUAAAGAGCUGCUCAAGGUGAAAAAACAGUUACUUUUGCGUGGGUCAUAGCUGAUUUGUUUUUGUACAACAGAUAAGGGAACUCAUGUUUCAGUGAUCACAUUUUUCCAUUUCACUUUUAUUUUCUUUAAUUAGUUUAUAUCUGUCUGUACCUUUUGAAGUUUUAAUGGUUUAAUGUUAAACUCCCCAUGAAUGCAAAAUAUAAUUUGGGAUUUUUGUCAUUUUUAAGUAAAAAAUAAAAUACAA